GCCAGAGUGGUGCAGUGGUUUUGAGUGUUAGAUUAUGACUCUGGAGACCAGGGUUUGAAUCCUGCUCUGCCA